GGGUCAGUAGGUUGGUCGUGCCACCGGUACGUACUGGUCUCACUGAUUCCUCCUUCCUGAAGAACCGUAAUGCCAUUAAUUUGGUGUUGCGGGGAAACAGGACUGUUACUUUGAAAAAAUUAGAGUGUAUAAAGCAAGCUAACGCUUGAAUACAUUAGCAUAGAAUAAUGAAAUAGGACGAUCGAUCCUAUUUUGUUGGUUUCUAGGAUUGACGUA
rnacentral:rRNA from 1 species